CCUACGAGAGGCAGCAGUGGGGAAUAUUGGGCAAUGGGCGCAAGCCUGAUCCAGCAAUGCCGCGUGCAGGAAGAAGGCUUUCGGGUUGUAAAAUUCUGUGACCGGGGAAGAGCAGAAGACGGUACCCUGAAAACAAGCCACGGCUAACUACGUGCCAGCCGCCGCGGUCAUAAAUAGGUGGCACGCGUUGUCCGGAUUUACUGGGUGUAAAGGGCGUGUAGCCGGGAAGGCAAGUCAGAUGUGAAAUCUGGAGGCUCAACCGCCAGAUUGCAUUUGACACUGUGGUUCUUGAGUACUGGAGAGGCAGACGGAAUUCCGGGUGUAGCGGUGAAAUGCGUAGAUAUAAGGAGGAACACCAGUGGCGAAGGCGGUCUGCUGGACAGCAACUGACGGUGAGGCGCGAAGGCGUGGGGAGCAAACAGGAUUAGAUACCCUAGUAGUC
rnacentral:rRNA from 1 species